rnacentral:rRNA from 1 species
AUUGAACGCUGGCGGCAGGCCUAACACAUGCAAGUCGAACGGAGUGGCGGACGGGUGAGUAAUGUCUGGGAAACUGCCUGAUGGAGGGGGAUAACUACUGGAAACGGUAGCUAAUACCGCAUACUAUCAGAUGAGCCUAGGUGGGAUUAGCUAGUUGGUGGGGUAAAGGCAUACCAAGGCGACGAUCCGUAGCUGGUCUGAGAGGGUGAUAAGCCACACUGGAACUGAGACACGGUCCAGACUCCUACGGGAGGCAGCAGUGGGGAAUAUUGGAAAAUUGGCGAAAGCCUGACAGAGCCAGGCCGCGUGUGUGAAGAAGGUCUUCGGAUUGUAAAUCACUUUAAGGUGGGAGGCGUUACCAACAGAAUAAGCACCGGCUAACUACGUGCCAGCCGCCGCGGUAAUAC